rnacentral:rRNA from 1 species
CCUACGGGCGGCUGCAGUGGGGAAUAUUGCACAAUGGGCGCAAGCCUGAUGCAGCCAUGCCGCGUGCGUGAAGAAGGCCUUCGGGUUGUAAAGCACUUUCAGCGGGGAGGAAGGCGGUGAGGUUAAUAACCUCAUCGAUUGACGUUACCCGCAGAAGAAGCACCGGCUAACUCCGUGCCAGCAGCCGCGGUAAUACGGAGGGUGCAAGCGUUAAUCGGAAUUACUGGGCGUAAAGCGCACGCAGGCGGUCUGUCAAGUCGGAUGUGAAAUCCCCGGGCUCAACCUGGGAACUGCAUUCGAAACUGGCAGGCUAGAGUCUUGUAGAGGGGGGUAGAAUUCCAGGUGUAGCGGUGAAAUGCGUAGAGAUCUGGAGGAAUACCGGUGGCGAAGGCGGCCCCCUGGACAAAGACUGACGCUCAGGUGCGAAAGCGUGGGGAGCAAACAGGAUUAGAUACCCUUGUAGUC